rnacentral:tRNA from 1 species
AGGACGGCAUGUUCCAAGGAUAAGGCGAUGGAGUCUCCAAAACUCUAUGUGGUGAGUUCGAUUCUCACCCGUCCUGCCA